CGUGCGAACCAGGGGAGGAAGAAAGGGGAGCCAAAAACCCUAACUGCUAGAUAUCAAGAAUUUGAAGCCUAAACCACAAGAAAAUUCGAUGCAUGGGUCCUCUUUUUCGAAAAUCUAACCCUAACUAGUGAAGUGGAUCAUGUUUAGAAGGGAAAGCAUGGAAGGCAAACGGAAAAGGGAUGAGGAAGCAUGUACGAAACGGACACUCGAGGUAAGUGAUUCCGUAAUCACUUCUUAGUUUGUUUAAGUAGUGUAGCGUUUUAAUUAAUUAAACAUGAUGUUUAAUGUCAAAUAUGGAUUUAGUUGAAUGAAAUUGGUGAAUUUUUCUAAGUAGACCAAACGGGUCAAAAUGAGGUCUUAUGAUUAUAUCGAAAAGUUGUAUAAGAAAUGGCAACGGUAGUAUAAACGGUUAAUGGGUAGAAUUGCACAUAAGUACGCAAUCCGGGAAUCGGAGAUGUGGUUUAAUAGUCAAAAGACUCAGAUGUGAGUUGGUUUAAUAGAUAUACAUUUGCGCAAGUGGAGGUUUUAGUAACAAGUUUGAUACGUAGAUUUAAAUGGAAUGAAUGAAAUUAAUGAAUACCGGGUAUCGGUUGCGUAAACCCAAAGUACGAAACUCUAAAUAAUAUAAGAGUAUUAUGGAUAUAAUGUUCAUGUAUGUUUUGGGUUAAAACAAAGGAGUGGUUUGAUGAAAACAUAAACGGGUCAAAUAAUUAGAAAAUGAUUAUUAAGCUGAUAGCGUGUAAGUUAAGAAUUUCCUUGAUCCGGAUAUGGGAUUUUAAGUUCAUAUGAUAGAAUGUGAAUUUACAAGCAUAUAGGAAGAAACGUGAGGUUAAACGGUCAACCGGGUUAAAAGUUAUGCGAGUUUUAGUGGGCGUUUUGUAUCUGCACCCGGAGUAUGGAACGCCGGGUUUGGGAGUAUGGAACGCCGGGCAGAAACCCAAACGCCCAUGCUUCACUGUCAAACGCUGGUUCCAUGUUAAAGUGAACGUCGGGGUGAUCCAAACAAGCCUAGAUCACUUUCCUUGAGUUCCUUUGAUGUAUGUAAAGCUCCAUGUGAUAGGUUUAUGAUCCGGAAUCAUCACGCAAUCUUCCACCACUACCCUACAUGUAAAAAUGCAUCAAAGUAACAUGUCUCGAUACAAAUUCAAUGCUAAAACAUGUAAAUAUUAACCACUUAGGCGUACCAAAAGCAUAUGCAUCAGGUAUGUACGUAUGUAUGUAUGUAUAUAUAUGAUUGUAUGUAGAUAUGUAGGUGCGUAUGAUCAGACGUAUGAAUAUAUGAAUGCACGAAGUAGGAUUUAUCGCCUAUGAAAAGAAUGGGACAGGUAUGCAUGUAUACAUGGUUUCAAUACGUAUGAGUAUGGACGUUACUAAUGAUGUGCUUGAGAUUGGAAUGUAAUGCAGGAAUGAGAACGUCGGAUUCUUGUAGAAUUGAAGCCGAACCUUGAAGCCGAACUCGGAACAAAGGAAUCCGAGAGGAUAGUCGAAUGAAUCAAAGUUUAUGUUGUCGAAUGUUAUAUGAUUUUUAAUUUGUAUCAGAUUAUUGUUGUAUGACGUUGUCAAUGACUAAUGGUUAAGUUGUAUGUGGGUGUCCACAGGUACUACACGGAUCUCUUCUACCACUAUCGAAGAUAAGCGGGCAUAGAUCGAGUCGAAUAACAAGGGUUGUACGGAAAGAACAGUUACGUAGUCUUAAUUUUGUAACGCAUUAAUUUGUAAAAAGGGAAGUGAAUUUUGUAAGCUUCUUCUUGAAUGUGUGUAUUGUUAUAAGAUCGUAAAGAAAUUUUUAAAGCUAUUUUUUUCGCUGCGUUAUCCUUAAGUUCUUACACGACGAUCUUACAGGGAAUUGUUCUUAUUACGAGCGGGUCAUGCCCGAAUUUUUCUUGAAUAAUAGUAUGGUAAUAUUACUUUUCAGACUAAGAUAUAUGGGCGUUACAAGUUGGUAUCAGAGCCCAGGUUUGAGAGAAUCAAGUAACGGGAGGUAAAUACUUGAACUCAAACCGGUGUGCUCUCGUGACCAAGAGCCCGUACAAUCCAAGACUCGAUCGAGGCCUAAAGGCAAAAGCGAAUGUAAGUAAGUAUUUGAUUAUGUAAUUGAAGGAAACUAAUAGUAUGUUAUGUGAAGGGUAAGCGCAAUUGUUGGGAGAGAUGAACUGUGAAUACGUCUGGGACCGGCAUCAAGGCAAGUAAUGAGGCGAAUUGACCCCAGGUACGUAAAUCUAAUGUGUGGACGUAUGAAAUGGUACAGUUAACUAAGUGAAAGAAAAAUUUUAAACAAAUUAUAAUAACGACAUGGUAAGUAAGUUUUGAAAAUGUCACACAUGCCGAAACUAAAUCCUUCGGACAUAAGGUGGCGAUUACGCGAAGACACGAAACUAGUACGUGGAAGGUGUACCUGGCCAGUACACAAGAAACGUAUGACGUUCGUGAGACCGUGAUAAUUGUUACAGGUAUGUCCGAUAGAAUUUGGUAGCGGCUAGGUGUGUGGGUGAAAUGGGUAGUAAGACUCUUGGGAGGUUGAGAGUACUAUGUAAGGGUGAAAGGUAUAAGUGAUAAGAACGAAAUACUGAGCCCAUAAGAAAGUAUGGAUUGACAAUGUAUGAAUGCAAUGUUUGAAUCCGCGAGACGGAUUCAACGAAUGAAAGAUAUGAAUGCAAUGCUUGAGUCCGCGAGACGGAUUCAAGGAUGAAAGAUAUGAAUGCAAUGCUUGAAUCCGCGAAACGGAUUUAAAGAAUGAAAGAUACAAAUGAUGCAAAUCCAUUGCGGAUUUGGUUAUGCUAAAGAAGGUUAUGAUAAGCUAUACAAGUCGACCGGUUCAAGUUGAACAAGUCGAGUAAGGACAGGGUACCAUCCGUUUAGAACGGGUGGUCGUGAAUGCAAUAAUAAAUGUAUGAAGCUCAACCCGUUAUACGGACAGAACGAAAUAUUUAUGUUGAACACAAUUAACUCGAUGUUACCGAGUCGUAAGUGGUACGCUUGAAUCUCAUUAUGAGAAUAUAUGCCAUUACCCAUUUAAUUGGAUACUCGAAUGCGUAAAAGAAAUGAAAGUAUAUAAGCGAAUGGAACUAAAAUGUUGGUAUUGUAAGCGAAAUAAGUAUUAUGACUAACCUUUAAAACGGGAAGGGUAAGUGUUGGCAAGAAAACACUGGAACAGUGAAGCUAUGAGGUCGUAAGCAUGUUUGAAUUGAGAAAAAAAAAGAGUACAAAUGUGUACUUCGAUACGCAUGUAUAUAAUAAGAAAUAAGUGGCAGUUGACCUUGAAAAGUCAAACUGCAGAAGCUGAGAAAUAAUUUGGUUUUAAACCAAGGGAGUGCUAGAGAAGAAAGGAAAUGUGUAGUGUAGUACACCAAAUGAGUUAAAUAAUUACGAAAUAAUGAUUAUGUGUUUACCCAUCAAGAACGGGUCAAACAAUGAGAAUGAUAUAUAUAUUAAGAAAUGGUCAUGUAUUGACCCGUUAUGAAUAGGUUUAACACACUAGUGCUUUAAAAAGAAUCUUGGAAGUAGUAAUAUGUAAACAAGGAGAAGUAAUAAACAUCAUGUUUAAAUGAACUUGAAUGAAAUGUGAUAAUCCCCAAUCUUAUAAUGAGUAUGGCAGAUAUCAUAGUGUGAUAAACCUAUCAAGGUCAGUGAAAGAAUGUUCAUAAGCGAAAGCUCGUCACACGGAUGAACGAGGUCAAUACGAAACAUGGUAUGGAUGGUGACGAAGAGGACCGACUCGUUGCUGCAUGUUCAAGUACGGCACCAAGGUAGUAAGGAUCAUGUUUAGAAGGGAAAGCAUGGAAGGCAAACGGAAAAGGGAUGAGGAAGCAUGUACGAAACGGACACGCGAGGUAAGUGAUUCCAUAAUCACUUCUUAGUUUGUUUAAGUAGUGUAGCGUUUUAAUUAAUUAAACAUGAUGUUUAAUGUCAAAUAUGGAUUUAGUUUAAUGAAAUUGGUGAAUUUUUCUAAGUAGACCAAACGGGUCAAAAUGGGGUCUUAUGAUUAUAUCGAAGAGUUGUAUAAGAAGUGGCUACGGUAGUAUAAACGAUUAAUGGGUAGAAUUGCACAUAAGUACGCAAUCCGGGAAUCGGAGAUGUGGUUUAAUAGUCAAAAGACUCAGAUGUGAGUUGGUUUAAUAGAUAUACAUUUGCGCAAGUGGAGGUAUUAGUAACAAGUUUGAUACGUAGAUUUAAAUGGAAUGAAUGAAAUUAAUGAAUACCGGGUAUCGGUUGCGUAAACCCCAAGUACGAAACUCUAAAUAAUAUAAGAGUAUUAUGGAUAUAAUGUUCAUGUACGUUUUGGAUUAAAACAAAGGAGUGGUUUGAUGAAAAUAUAAACGGGUCAAAUAAUUAGAAAAUGUUUAUUAAGCCGAUAGCAUGUAAGUUAAGAAUUUCCUUAAUCCGGAUAUGGGAUUUUAAGUUCAUAUGAUAGAAUGUGAAUUUACAAGCAUAUAGGAAGAAACGUGAGGUUAAACGGUCAACUGGGUUAAAAGUUAUGCGAGUUUUAGUGGGCGUUUUGUAUCUGCACCCGGAGUAUGGAACGCCGGGUUUGGGAGUAUGGAACGCCGGGCAGAAACCCAAACGCCCAUGCUUCACUGUCAAACGCUGGUUCCAUGUUAAAGUGAACGUCGGGGUGUUCCAAACAAGCCUAGGUCACUUUCCUUGAGUUCCUUUGAUGUAUGUAAAGCUCCAUGUGAUAGGUUUAUGAUCCGGAAUCAUCACCCAAUCUUCCACCACUACCCUACAUGUAAAAAUGCAUCAAAGUAACAUGUCUCGAUACAAAUUCGAUGCUAAAAAAUGUAAAUAUUAACCACUUAGGCGUGCCAAAAGCAUAUGCAUCAGGUAUAUACGUAUGUAUGUAUGUAUGUAUGUAUGUAUAUAUAUGAUUGUAUGUAGAUAUGUAGGUGCGUAUGAUCAGAUGUAUGAAUAUAUGAAUGCACGAAGUAGGAUUUAUCGCCUAUGAAAAGAAUGGGACAGGUAUGCAUGUAUACAUGGUUUCAAUACGUAUGAGUAUGGACGUUACUAAUGCUGUGCUUGAGAUUGGAAUGUAAUGCAGGAAUGAGAACGUCGGAUUCUUGUAGAAUUGAAGCCGAACCUUGAAGCCAAACUCAGAACAAAGGAAUCCGAGAGGAUAGUCGAAUGAAUCAAAGUUUAUGUUGUCGAAUGUUAUAUGAUUUUUAAUUUGUAUCAGAUUAUUGUUGUAUGACGUUGUCAAUGACUAAUGGUUAAGUUGUAUGUGGUGUCCACAGGUACUACACGGAUCUCUUCUACCACUAUCGAAGAUAAGCGGGCAUAGAUCGAGUCGAAUAACAAGGGUUGUACGGAAAGAACGGUUACGUAGUCUUAUUUUUGUAACGCAUUAAUUUGUAAAAAGGGAAGUGAAUUUUGUAAGCUUCUUCUUGAAUGUGUGUAUUGUUAUAAGACCGUAAAGAAAUUUUUAAAGCUA